UUGAUCUCAAAUCAGGUAGGACUACCCGCUGAACUUAAGCAUAUCAAUAAGCGGAGGAAAAGAAACUAACAAGGAUUCCCCUAGUAACUGCGAGUGAAGCGGGAAGAGCUCAAAUUUAAAAUCUGGCGUGCCUCCGGUCGUCCGAGUUGUAGUCUGGAGAAGUGUUUUCCGUGUUGGACCGUGUAUAAGUCUCUUGGAACAGGGCGUCAUAGAGGGUGAGAAUCCCGUCUUUGACACGGACUACCAAUGCUUUGUGAUGCGCUCUCAAAGAGUCGAGUUGUUUGGGAAUGCAGCUCAAAAUGGGUGGUAAAUUCCAUCUAAAGCUAAAUAUAGGCGAGAGACCGAUAGCGAACAAGUACCGUGAGGGAAAGAUGAAA
rnacentral:rRNA from 1 species